GAUGAACGCUGGCGGUGUGCCUAAUACAUGCAAGUCGAGCGAAUGGAUUAAGAGCUUGCUCUUAUGAAGUUAGCGGCGGACGGGUGAGUAACACGUGGGUAACCUGCCCAUAAGACUGGGAUAACUCCGGGAAACCGGGGCUAAUACCGGAUAACAUUUUGAACCGCAUGGUUCGAAAUUGAAAGGCGGCUUCGGCUGUCACUUAUGGAUGGACCCGCGUCGCAUUAGCUAGGUGGUGAGGUAACGGCUCACCAAGGCAACGAUGCGUAGCCGAGCUGAGAGGGGGAUCGGCCACGCUGGGACGGGGACACGGCCCAGACUCCUACGGGAGGCAGCAGUAGGGAAUCUUCCGCAAUGGACGAAAGUCUGACGGAGCAACGCCGCGUGAGUGAUGAAGGCUUUCGGGUCGUAAAACUCUGUUGUUAGGGAAGAACAAGUGCUAGUUGAAUAAGCUGGCACCUUGACGGUACCUAACCAGAAAGCCACGGCUAACUACGUGCCAGCAGCCGCCGUAA
rnacentral:rRNA from 1 species